UUCCUACGGGAGGCAGCAGUGGGGAAUUGUUCAAUGGGCGCAAGCCGACGACGCAACGCCGCGUGAGGGAUGAAGGUCUUCGGAUUGUAAACCUCUGUCACUGGGGAGAAAACGCUUCAGGUUAAUAGUCUAAAGCUGAUUUAACCCGGAGAGGAAGCAGUGGCUAACUCUGUGCCAGCAGCCGCGGUAAUACAGAGACUGCAAGCGUUAUUCGGAUUCACUGGGCGUAAAGGGUGCGCAGGCGGCCGGGUGUGUCAGAUGUGAAAUCCCGAGGCUCAACCUCGGAACUGCGUCUGAAACUACUCGGCUAGAGUAUUGGAGAGGGUAACGGAAUUCACGGUGUAGCGGUGAAAUGCGUAGAUAUCUGGAGGAAUACCGGUGGCGAAGGCGGCAUCCUGGACCGACAUUGACGCUGAGGAGCGAAAGCCAGGGGAGCAAACGGGAUUAGAUACCCCGGUAGUCCUGGCCCUAAACGAUGAAUGCUUGGUGUGACGGGUAUCGAUCCCUGUCGUGCCGAAGCUAACGCAUUAAGCAUUCCGCCUGGGGAGUACGGUCGCAAGGCUGAAACUCAAAGGAAUUCGGGGGCCCGCACAAGCGGUGGAGCAUGUGGUUCAAUUCGACGCAAAGAACCUUACCCAGGCUCGAACGGCAUGGACAUCCGGCGAAACCGGCUCCCGCAAGGCCGAUGUCGAGGUGCUGCAUGGCUGUCGUCAGCUCGUGUCUGAGAUGUUGGGUUAAGUCCCGCAACGAGCGCAACCCUUGUCCGCUGUUGCCAUCAGGUUAUGCUGGGCACUCUGCGGAGACUGCCGGUGAUAAACCGGAGGAAGGUGGGGAUGACGUCAAGUCAGCAUGGCCUUUAUGUCUGGGGCUACACACGUGCUACAAUGGCAGAUACAAACCGUCGCGAUGCCGCAAGGUGGAGCUAAUCGGAGAAAAUCUGUCUCAGUUCGGAUUGCAGGCUGCAACUCGCCUGCAUGAAGUUGGAAUCGCUAGUAAUCGCGGAUCAGCACGCCGCGGUGAAUACGUUCCCGGGCCUG
rnacentral:rRNA from 1 species